rnacentral:rRNA from 1 species
GGGUUGUGAGGUUAAGCGACUAAGCGUACACGGUGGAUGCCCCGGCAGUCAGAGGCGAUGAAGGGCGUGCUAAUCUGCGAUAAGCGCCGGUAAGGUGAUAUGAACCGUUAUAACCGGCGAUACCCGAAUGGGGAAACCCAGUGUGACUCGUCACACUAUCAUUAACUGAAUCCAUAGGUUAAUGAGGCGAACCGGGGGAACUGAAACAUCUAAGUACCCCGAGGAAAAGAAAUCAACCGAGAUUCCCCCAGUAGCGGCGAGCGAACGGGGAGGAGCCCAGAGCCUGAAUCAGCAUGUGUGUUAGUGGAAGCGUCUGGAAAGGCGCGCGAUACAGGGUGACAGCCCCGUACACAAAAGCGCAUGUGCUGUGAGCUCGAUGAGUAGGGCGGGACACGUGGUAUCCUGUCUGAAUAUGGGGGGACCAUCCUCCAAGGCUAAAUACUCCUGACUGACCGAUAGUGAACCAGUACCGUGAGGGAAAGGCGAAAAGAACCCCGGCGAGGGGAGUGAAAAAGAACCUGAAACCGUGUACGUACAAGCAGUGGGAGCACAGGUUUACCUGUGUGACUGCGUACCUUUUGUAUAAUGGGUCAGCGACUUAUAUUCUGUAGCAAGGUUAACCGAAUAGGGGAGCCGGAGGGAAACCGAGUCUUAAUUGGGCGUUAAGUUGCAGGGUAUAGACCCGAAACCCGGUGAUCUAGCCAUGGGCAGGUUGAAGGUUGGGUAACACUAACUGGAGGACCGAACCGACUAAUGUUGAAAAAUUAGCGGAUGACCUGUGGCUGGGGGUGAAAGGCCAAUCAAACCGGGAGAUAGCUGGUUCUCCCCGAAAGCUAUUUAGGUAGCGCCUCGUGAAUUCAUCUCCGGGGGUAGAGCACUGUUUCGGCUAGGGGGCCAUCCCGGCUUACCAACCCGAUGCAAACUGCGAAUACCGGAGAAUGUUAUCACGGGAGACACACGGCGGGUGCUAACGUCCGUCGUGAAGAGGGAAACAACCCAGACCGCCAGCUAAGGUCCCAAAGUCAUGGUUAAGUGGGAAACGAUGUGGGAAGGCCCAGACAGCCAGGAUGUUGGCUUAGAAGCAGCCAUCAUUUAAAGAAAGCGUAAUAGCUCACUGGUCGAGUCGGCCUGCGCGGAAGAUGUAACGGGCUAAACCAUGCACCGAAGCUGCGGCAGCGACACUGUGUGUUGUUGGGUAGGGGAGCGUUCUGUAAGCCUGCGAAGGUGGCCUGUGAGGGUUGCUGGAGGUAUCAGAAGUGCGAAUGCUGACAUAAGUAACGAUAAAGCGGGUGAAAAGCCCGCUCGCCGGAAGACCAAGGGUUCCUGUCCAACGUUAAUCGGGGCAGGGUGAGUCGACCCCUAAGGCGAGGCCGAAAGGCGUAGUCGAUGGGAAACGGGUUAAUAUUCCCGUACUUGGUGUUACUGCGAAGGGGGGACGGAGAAGGCUAUGUUGGCCGGGCGACGGUUGUCCCGGUUUAAGCGUGUAGGUGUGUGUUCCGUGUAAAUCCGGUUCACUUUAACACUGAGGCGUGACGACGAGGCACUACGGUGCUGAAGCAACAAAUGCCCUGCUUCCAGGAAAAGCCUCUAAGCAUCAGGUAACAUCAAAUCGUACCCCAAACCGACACAGGUGGUCAGGUAGAGAAUACCAAGGCGCUUGAGAGAACUCGGGUGAAGGAACUAGGCAAAAUGGUGCCGUAACUUCGGGAGAAGGCACGCUGACACGUAGGUGAAGUGAUUUACUCAUGGAGCUGAAGUCAGUCGAAGAUACCAGCUGGCUGCAACUGUUUAUUAAAAACACAGCACUGUGCAAACACGAAAGUGGACGUAUACGGUGUGACGCCUGCCCGGUGCCGGAAGGUUAAUUGAUGGGGUCAGCGCAAGCGAAGCUCCUGAUCGAAGCCCCGGUAAACGGCGGCCGUAACUAUAACGGUCCUAAGGUAGCGAAAUUCCUUGUCGGGUAAGUUCCGACCUGCACGAAUGGCGUAAUGAUGGCGGGCUGUCUCCACCCGAGACUCAGUGAAAUUGAACUCGCUGUGAAGAUGCAGUGUACCCGCGGCAAGACGGAAAGACCCCGUGAACCUUUACUAUAGCUUGACACUGAACAUUGAGCCUUGAUGUGUAGGAUAGGUGGGAGGCUUUGAAGUGUGGACGCCAGUCUGCAUGGAGCCGACCUUGAAAUACCACCCUUUAAUGUUUGAUGUUCUAACGUGGACCCGUUACCCGGGUUGCGGACAGUGUCUGGUGGGUAGUUUGACUGGGGCGGUCUCCUCCUAAAGAGUAACGGAGGAGCACGAAGGUUGGCUAAUCCUGGUCGGACAUCAGGAGGUUAGUGCAAUGGCAUAAGCCAGCUUGACUGCGAGCGUGACGGCGCGAGCAGGUGCGAAAGCAGGUCAUAGUGAUCCGGUGGUUCUGAAUGGAAGGGCCAUCGCUCAACGGAUAAAAGGUACUCCGGGGAUAACAGGCUGAUACCGCCCAAGAGUUCAUAUCGACGGCGGUGUUUGGCACCUCGAUGUCGGCUCAUCACAUCCUGGGGCUGAAGUAGGUCCCAAGGGUAUGGCUGUUCGCCAUUUAAAGUGGUACGCGAGCUGGGUUUAGAACGUCGUGAGACAGUUCGGUCCCUAUCUGCCGUGGGCGCUGGAGAACUGAGGGGGGCUGCUCCUAGUACGAGAGGACCGGAGUGGACGCAUCACUGGUGUUCGGGUUGUCAUGCCAAUGGCACUGCCCGGUAGCUAAAUGCGGAAGAGAUAAGUGCUGAAAGCAUCUAAGCACGAAACUUGCCCCGAGAUGAGUUCUCCCUGAGACUUAAAGUCUCCUGAAGGAACGUUGAAGACGACGACGUUGAUAGGCCGGGUGUGUAAGCGCAGCGAUGCGUUGAGCUAACCGGUACUAAUGAACCGUGAGGCUUAACCUUACAACGCCGAAG